ACAGUGGUGGUUCAAUGGUAGAAUUCCCGCCCACGAUGUGGGAGACCCGGGUUUGAUUCCCAGCCAACAUA
rnacentral:tRNA from 1 species